CUCCUGGACAGCUUCACUCCGCAAAUAGCUCAACCACUGAGGGGAGGAACUUCACCAUUCAAAAGACAAUGUCUUCAGGCAGAGUCCAGCAAAGCAGAUGGUUUAGGGAUGUGGUCACUCAAGAAGUUUUCCGGAAAGCGGCACACUUUGCCUGGCUAGACAUUGUGGCCAACUGGAAGAAUUGUCCUCCUGUCUACCAGAACGAGUUCAGAUGGAUGUACAGCAUCAGGGAAUGCUUGCAGUUCAGAGCCCUUUUCAAGUUUAACCCACCAGGGUACAGGGAAAAGGUCGGCGUGGUGAUCUUCUGGGCUUUUGUUUACACAGGAUUUUGUUCCAAGGACUGUUUUUUUUUUUUUUUUUUUUUUUUUUGCGGCAUGAAACAUUUGUGUGUUCAUUGAAGGGAAAUAGAGAAUGAACUGAGAUCAACUGGUUUUAAUGUAUUAAUUGAUGUCAUUUAAAGUUAAACUUUGCAGUGUAUAAUGUUUUAAUAAAAAAGCUAUGGCAAACACGUGCAUUACAAAAGGUUUCAGUCAUUUACAUCAGUCUAUCAUUCUUUAAGGUUUCUCAUAUUUGAUGGUAACAUCAUUUGCUAUGCAUUGCUCAUAAUGAAUUCUUAAUUUAGUU